GAAUUGACGGGGGCCCGCACAAGCAGUGGAGUAUGUGGUUUAAUUCGAAGCAACGCGAAGAACCUUACCAGGGCUUGACAUGCAGGUGAAUAUGCUAGAGAUAGCAUAGUCCUUCGGGACACCUGUGCAGGUGGUGCAUGGUUGUCGUCAGCUCGUGUCGUGAGAUGUUGGGUUAAGUCCCGCAACGAGCGCAACCCCUGUUGUUAGUUGCCAGCAUUAAGUUGGGCACUCUAACGAGACUGCCGGUGACAAAUCGGAGGAAGGUGGGGAUGACGUCAAAUCAUCAUGCCCCUUAUGUCCUGGGCUACACACGUACUACAAUGGCGACUACAGAGGGCAGCGAGACCGUGAGGUGGAGCAAAUCCCCAAAAGUCGUCCCAGUUCGGAUUGCAGGCUGCAACCCGCCUGCAUGAAGUCGGAAUUGCUAGUAAUGGCAGGUCAGCAUACUGCCGUGAAUACGUUCCCGGGCCUUGUACACACCG
rnacentral:rRNA from 1 species